AGAAACAUCAGCUGAUAAAAGAUGCGUCACCAAUUAACAUCCGGUGACACUCUGAGGAAGACGACAGUCGUACGUCGGAACAUGUCAGGUCUGGAUGCCCCGUGGCCCUGACCAGGAUAAAGUGGUGACUGAAAAUGAAUGCAGUGGCAUUAUGGUGCAGUAUGUAGUGAUGCUGCUUCUCAGCUCCCAGGUUCAUUCCUAACUUCAGAUGGGUAGGCCUCAGAGGGGAAGUGGACUGCCAUUCACAGCCAGAGGAAAAAUGCAUUUGAUCAGACACAAGGUCAAUAGAA